GCCGUGCGGGGGCUAUACAUGCAGUAGAACGCUGAAGAGAGGAGCUUGCUCUUCUUGGAUGAGUUGCGAACGGGUGAGUAACGCGUAGGUAACCUGCCUUGUAGCGGGGGAUAACUAUUGGAAACGAUAGCUAAUACCGCAUAACAAUGGAUGACACAUGUCAUUUAUUUGAAAGGGGCAAUUGCUCCACUACAAGAUGGACCUGCGUUGUAUUAGCUAGUAGGUGAGGUAAUGGCUCACCUAGGCGACGAUACAUAGCCGACCUGAGAGGGUGAUCGGCCACACUGGGACUGAGACACGGCCCAGACUCCUACGGGAGGCAGCAGUAGGGAAUCUUCGGCAAUGGGGGCAACCCUGACCGAGCAACGCCGCGUGAGUGAAGAAGGUUUUCGGAUCGUAAAGCUCUGUUGUAAGUCAAGAACGGGUGUGAGAGUGGAAAGUUCACACUGUGACGGUAGCUUACCAGAAAGGGACGGCUAACUACGUGCCAGCAGCCGCGGUAAUACGUAGGUCCCGAGCGUUGUCCGGAUUUAUUGGGCGUAAAGCGAGCGCAGGCGGUUUGAUAAGUCUGAAGUUAAAGGCUGUGGCUCAACCAUAGUUCGCUUUGGAAACUGUCAAACUUGAGUGCAGAAGGGGAGAGUGGAAUUCCAUGUGUAGCGGUGAAAUGCGUAGAUAUAUGGAGGAACACCGGUGGCGAAAGCGGCUCUCUGGUCUGUAACUGACGCUGAGGCUCGAAAGCGUGGGGAGCGAACAGGAUUAGAUACCCUGGUAGUCCACGCCGUAAACGAUGAGUGCUAGGUGUUGGAUCCUUUCCGGGAUUCAGUGCCGCAGCUAACGCAUUAAGCACUCCGCCUGGGGAGUACGACCGCAAGGUUGAAACUCAAAGGAAUUGACGGGGGCCCGCACAAGCGGUGGAGCAUGUGGUUUAAUUCGAAGCAACGCGAAGAACCUUACCAGGUCUUGACAUCCCGAUGCUAUUUCUAGAGAUAGAAAGUUACUUCGGUACAUCGGUGACAGGUGGUGCAUGGUUGUCGUCAGCUCGUGUCGUGAGAUGUUGGGUUAAGUCCCGCAACGAGCGCAACCCCUAUUGUUAGUUGCCAUCAUUCAGUUGGGCACUCUAGCGAGACUGCCGGUAAUAAACCGGAGGAAGGUGGGGAUGACGUCAAAUCAUCAUGCCCCUUAUGACCUGGGCUACACACGUGCUACAAUGGUUGGUACAACGAGUUGCGAGUCGGUGACGGCGAGCUAAUCUCUUAAAGCCAAUCUCAGUUCGGAUUGUAGGCUGCAACUCGCCUACAUGAAGUCGGAAUCGCUAGUAAUCGCGGAUCAGCACGCCGCGGUGAAUACGUUCCCGGGCCUUGUACACACCGCCCGUCACACCACGAGAGUUUGUAACACCCGAAGUCGGUGAGGUAACCUUUGAGCCAGCCGCCUAAGGUGAAAAAAGA
rnacentral:rRNA from 1 species